GACGGAGGAUGCAAGCGUUAUCCGGAAUUAUUGGGCGUAAAGCGUCCGCAGGUGGACAUACAAGUCUGCUGUCAAAGUGCAGAGCUUAACUCUGUAAAGGCGGUGGAAACUGUAGGUCUUGAGUAUGGUAGGGGUAGAGGGAAUUCCCGGUGUAGCGGUGAAAUGCGUAGAUAUCGGGAAGAACACCAGUGGCGAAAGCGGCACCCUGGCAUUAGCCUGACGCUCAUGUGCGAAAGCGUGGGGAGCGAACGGG
rnacentral:rRNA from 1 species